UGGUUCUGGCAUCGAUGAAGAACGCAGCGAAAUGCGAUAAGUAAUGUGAAUUGCAGAAUUCAGUGAAUCAUCGAAUCUUUGAACGCACAUUGCGCCCGCCAGCAUUCUGGCGGGCAUGCCUGUUCGAGCGUCAUUUCAACCCUCAAGCUCUGCUUGGUGUUGGGGCCCUACAGCUGAUGUAGGCCCUCAAAGGUAGUGGCGGACCCUCCCGGAGCCUCCUUUGCGUAGUAACUUUACGUCUCGCACUGGGAUCCGGAGGGACUCUUGCCGUAAAACCCCCAAUUUUCCAAAGGUUGACCUCGGAUCAGGUAGGAAUACCCGCUGA
rnacentral:misc_RNA from 1 species